UACGAAGGGGGCUAGCGUUGCUCGGAAUCACUGGGCGUAAAGGGCGCGUAGGUGGUGGCUUAAGCGUGCGGUGAAAGCUCGGGGCUCAACUCCGAGUCGGCCGUGCGAACUGGGCUCACUGGAGCAUAGUAGAGGCAGGUGGAAUUCCGGGUGUAGCGGUGGAAUGCGCAGAUAUCAGGAAGAACACCCGUGGCGAAGGCGGCUCUCUGGAACGCAACUGACGCUGAGACGCGAAAGCGUGGGGAGCAAACAGG
rnacentral:rRNA from 1 species